AGGCUCAUUCCUAGGGUGGGAAUGUUGACUACCACGGGGCCAUUAGGCACGGCGCAAGCCGGACUACCUUGUGUAGGUCCUAUAUGAUUGGAACAAUGUUGAACUAAAAUGCAAAAUGGACAUUAGACUAUUUGUAAUGUUGACAUUCUACUAGUUGCAUUGUGGACAUCAUGCUACUUAUAUAUGUGUAUGCUCAUUCAUAUUAGAACAGCAAUUAUACUUGUGC
rnacentral:lncRNA from 1 species